rnacentral:sRNA from 1 species
UAAUAAUUGCGUUAGGGAUUGAAGCGACAUCCUUUUAUAAUCCUGUUAGCCUAGAAUAGUAUCGAAAGGCUUUUAGAUUAUAAAAGGUAUAGCUGAAAGCCCGACCUCUA